AUCAGCCGCGGUAAUUCCAGCUCCAAUAGCGUAUAUUAAAGUUGUUGCAGUUAAAAAGCUCGUAGUUGAAUUUCGGGGUUCUACCGUUGGUCGGGCAAUAGUCUGUACUGGCGUGUAGAAUUUCUACCUUCUGGGGAACCAUCAUGUUAUUAAUUUAACGUGGUGGGAAACCAGGACCUUUACCUUGAAAAAAUUAGAGUGUUCAAAGCAGGCUUAUGUCUGAAUACAUUAGCAUGGAAUAAUAGAAUAGGACGGUGGUCCUGUUUUGUUGGUUUCUGAAUCACCGUAAUGAUUAAUAGGGAUAGUUGGGGGCAUUAGUAUUCAAUUGUCAGAGGUGAAAUUCUUGGAUUUAU
rnacentral:rRNA from 1 species